rnacentral:lncRNA from 1 species
GUCAUCUUUGUGAUCUAUUUUCUUAUGUUUUUAUGUCUGGUGUUCAGAGAAACAACAUAUGACAUGUAGAAUUUGAGGAUAUUAUUGGAUAUAGCAAGCUCUGAAGAAGAAUCAGCUAUUGACAAAGCUCAACACAUUACCGUUAUCACAGCUUGUCCUGUCUUCAGAAGUGUUUGCCUGAGUAACACAUGCACUUCUUGAUGUGUGCAUAAGGCUCAGAAACCACUGAUUUUCUACUGGA